CGUACACUCCUACGGGAGGCAGCAGUGGGGAAUAUUGGACAAUGGGCGCAAGCCUGAUCCAGCCAUGCCGCGUGAGUGAUGAACGCCCUAGGGUUGUAAAGCUCUUUCACCGGUGAAGAUAAUGACGGUAACCGGAGAAGAAGCCCCGGCUAACUUCGUGCCAGCAGCCGCGGUAAUACGAAGGGGGCUAGCGUUGUUCGGAUUUACUGGGCGUAAAGCGCACGAAGGCGGACUAUUAAGUCAGGGGUGAAAUCCCGGGGCUCAACCCCGGAACUGCCUUUGAUACUGGUAGUCUGGAGUGCGAGAGAGGUGAGUGGAAUUCCGAGUGUAGAGGUGAAAUUCGUAGAUAUUCGGAGGAACACCAGUGGCGAAGGCGGCUCACUGGCUCGAUACUGACGCUGAGGUGCGAAAGCGUGGGGAGCAAACAGGAUUAGAAACCCCGGUAGUCCCAUGA
rnacentral:rRNA from 1 species